rnacentral:lncRNA from 1 species
GGGACACUCUGAGAAACAUGUCCGUGAUGGUGGACAAAAGUGGGAUGUUGAAGUUGAAAAGGCAAUGGAGAAUAAAUAUAAUGAUGAUGUGUCGUCUCCCGAUAAUAUGUUGUCCAUUAAUUAUAUGCGAGCUAGUCGUAAAUAAAUGAGGUGGGAGCACAUAGGGAUCAAAUUCAUCAUGCGGUUGACUUAUACUGUUGGCUCUUCCAAUUUUGUUUACACUUGGCCUGUAACAAAAAAAUUGGGAAGCGAUGAAACUUUGUCACCGAUGGACAAAAUUCCCAAUAAAAAGGAUAAAUGUCCAUCUCUGAAACAUAUCUCGUAGAUGUGUGAAUGUCUAUUGCUUGAGCGUUGAUGGAUGAAGUUUGAUGUACAUUACAGUCAAUGGCUUUGAGUCCAAGGAAGAGUCCAUUAUGCAAUCUGCUACUGGCUAGAGUUGAACAUAAAAGACAUGUU